rnacentral:tRNA from 4 species
GGACAGGUGGCCGAGUGGUUGAAGGCACCGGUCUCGAAAACCGGCAUACCGGCAACGGUAUCGAGAGUUCGAAUCUCUCCCUGUCCG